rnacentral:rRNA from 1 species
AGUCGAACGGCAGCACAGUAAGAGCUUGCUCUUAUGGGUGGCGAGUGGCGGACGGGUGAGGAAUACAUCGGAAUCUACCUUUUCGUGGGGGAUAACGUAGGGAAACUUACGCUAAUACCGCAUACGACCUUCGGGUGAAAGCAGGGGACCUUCGGGCCUUGCGCGGAUAGAUGAGCCGAUGUCGGAUUAGCUAGUUGGCGGGGUAAAGGCCCACCAAGGCGACGAUCCGUAGCUGGUCUGAGAGGAUGAUCAGCCACACUGGAACUGAGACACGGUCCAGACUCCUACGGGAGGCAGCAGUGGGGAAUAUUGGACAAUGGGCGCAAGCCUGAUCCAGCCAUACCGCGUGGGUGAAGAAGGCCUUCGGGUUGUAAAGCCCUUUUGUUGGGAAAGAAAAGCAAUCGAUUAAUACUCGGUUGUUCUGACGGUACCCAAAGAAUAAGCACCGGCUAACUUCGUGCCAGCAGCCGCGGUAAUACGAAGGGUGCAAGCGUUACUCGGAAUUACUGGGCGUAAAGCGUGCGUAGGUGGUUGUUUAAGUCUGUUGUGAAAGCCCUGGGCUCAACCUGGGAAUUGCAGUGGAUACUGGGCGACUAGAGUGUGGUAGAGGGUAGUGGAAUUCCCGGUGUAGCAGUGAAAUGCGUAGAGAUCGGGA